GCGAAAACUUUACAAUGCUGGCAACAGCGAUAAGGGAACCUCGAGUGCCAGGUUACAAAUCUGGCUGUCGAGAUGCCUAAAAAGCAUUUCAUAGCAAGGGCAGGGCAAGACCGGUGCCAGCCGCCGCGGUAACACCGGCGGCUCGAGUGGUAACCGUUAUUAUUGGGUCUAAAGGGUCUGUAGCCGGCCGGAUAAGUCUCUUGAGAAAUCUGGCAGCUUAACUGUCAGGCUUUCAGGAGAUACUGUCUGGCUCGAGGCCGGGAGACGUGAGAGGUACUUCAGGGGUAGGGGUGAAAUCUUUUAAUCCUUGAAGGACCACCAGUGGCGAAGGCGUCUCACCAGAACGUACCUGACGGCAAGGGACGAAAGCUAGGGGCACGAACC
rnacentral:rRNA from 1 species